rnacentral:sRNA from 1 species
UGUAGAGCAAAGUUAAAGCAAAUGCGACUAAUUGCCGUAGCACACAAUUCGAAUUGCUUAAAGAGCGUAAAGAGCCAACGUACUGUUGGUUUUCGUUGCCGCUGUGCUGGCUGCAGGUUGUUGCCGCAUGUAGUUGUGGCAUGCUGUUGUUUACAUUUGCAUUGCGUUCAGCUUUCACGCUGCUCAGCUGCUUAGUGGCAGCUGCCACAGCAGCGCCAUAUGGCCAACGUAUGUAUGCGUAUAGGUCGAAAGGCGAAAUUUUCCGUGUCAGUUUCCCUAACCCAUCCAGUUCAUCCAUUCACUUACAGCCUGUGGCGAGAAUGAGGAACGCGCCUGUUUGCCCUGCUAUGAGCCGAGCUGCUCGGUGCCCUUUAACUACGAUGGCUCCUGCUCAACGGUCUGUCAUCUGGGCUGCGGCUGCAAAACCAGCUUUGUGCGUGACGACAGCUCCUUGAAGUGUGUGUCCAUGUAUCAGUGCGACAAUAUGCAACUUCAUCGAAUUCCCUAACGCCAUUAAAGCGUUAAGCAUGAACUGCACUUUUUUUUUAGUUCUUAAGCAUUUGCCAGGGUUUGCGGGCGCAGACUUAUGAGGAGUUAAGGGAAAAUGGCGAACUAACGCCCAAAACUCUUUGUCUACGCGAUAUUACCGGACACGUAACUAUCUGUUACAAAUAAAAACUUUAACUGCAAA